rnacentral:rRNA from 1 species
CAGCAGCCGCGGGAAUACGGAGGGAGCUAGCGUUGUUCGGAAUUACUGGGCGUAAAGCGCACGUAGGCGGCUUUGUAAGUCAGAGGUGAAAGCCUGGAGCUCAACUCCAGAAUUGCCUUUGAGACUGCAUCGCUUGAACGUCGGAGAGGUGAGUGGAAUUCCGAGUGUAGAGGUGAAAUUCGUAGAUAUUCGGAAGAACACCAGUGGCGAAGGCGGCUCACUGGACGACUGUUGACGCUGAGGUGCGAAAGCGUGGGGAGCAAACAGGAUUAGAUACCCCGGUAGUCCCUGUCUCUUAUAC